GGGAAUAGCUCAGUGGUAGAGCAUCAGCUUCCCAAGCUGAGGGUCGCGGGUUCGACCCCCGUUUCCC
rnacentral:tRNA from 1 species